GAUGAACGCUGGCGGCGUGCCUAAUACAUGCAAGUCGAGCGAACGGACGAGAAGCUUGCUUUUCUGAUGUUAGCGGCGGACGGGUGAGUAACACGUGGAUAACCUACCUAUAAGACUGGGAUAACUUCGGGAAACCGGAGCUAAUACCGGAUAAUAUUUUGAACCGCAUGGUUCAAAAGUGAAAGACGGUCUUGCUGUCACUUAUAGAUGGAUCCGCGCUGCAUUAGCUAGUUGGUAAGGUAACGGCUUACCAAGGCAACGAUGCAUAGCCGACCUGAGAGGGUGAUCGGCCACACUGGCACUGAGACACGGUCCAGACUCCUACGGGAGGCAGCAGUAGGGAAUCUUCCGCAAUGGGCGAAAGCCUGACGGAGCAACGCCGCGUGUGUGAUGAAGGUCUUCGGAUCGUAAAACUCUGUUAUUAGGGAAGAACAUAUGUGUAAGUAACUGUGCACAUCUUGACGUUACCUAAUCAGAAAGCCACGGCUAACUACGUG
rnacentral:rRNA from 1 species